UACGGAGGGUGCAAGCGUUAAUCGGAAUUACUGGGCGUAAAGCGUGCGCAGGCGGUUUGUUAAGUCCGUUGUGAAAGCCCCGAGCUCAACUUGGGAAUUGCAGUGGAUACUGGCAGGCUGGAGUACGGUAGAGGAAGGUGGAAUUCCCGGUGUAGCAGUGAAAUGCGUAGAUAUCGGGAGGAACACCAGUGGCGAAGGCGGCCUUCUGGACCAGUACUGACGCUCCAUGCACGAAAGCGUGGGGAGCAAACAGG
rnacentral:rRNA from 1 species